GAUGAACGCUGGCGGCGUGCCUAAUACAUGCAAGUCGAGCGAAUGGAUCAAGAGCUUGCUCUUAUGAAGUUAGCGGCGGACGGGUGAGUAACACGUGGGUAACCUGCCCAUAAGACUGGGAUAACUCCGGGAAACCGGGGCUAAUACCGGAUAACAUUUUGAACCGCAUGGUUCGAAAUUGAAAGGCGGCUUCGGCUGUCACUUAUGGAUGGACCCGCGUCGCAUUAGCUAGUUGGUGAGGUAACGGCUCACCAAGGCAACGAUGCGUAGCCGACCUGAGAGGGUGAUGGGCCACACUGGGACUGAGACACGGCCCAGACUCCUACGGGAGGCAGCAGUAGGGAAUGUUCCGCAAUGGACGAAAGUCUGACGGAGCAACGCCGCGUGAGUGAUGAAGGCUUUCGGGUCGUAAAACUCUGUUGUUAGGGAAGAACAAGUGCUAGUUGAAUAAGCUGGCACCUUGACGGUACCUAACCAGAAAGCCACGGCUAACUACGUGCCAGCCGCCGCAGUAA
rnacentral:rRNA from 1 species